CGCGACCGAUCAGGUUGUUGGUGAGGUAAUGGCUCACCAAGCCUUUUACCGGUGCGGGCCGUGGGAGCGGGAGCCCGGAGAUGGGUACUGAGACAAGGACCCAGGCCCUACGGGGCGCAGCAGUCGCGAAACCUUUGCAAUACACGAAAGUGUGACAGGGCUAUCCCGAGUGCCAUCCGCUGAGGAAGGCUUUUACCCAGUCUAGAACGCUGGGGGAAUAAGGAGAGGGCAAGUCUGGUGUCAGCCGCCGCGGUAAUACCGGCUCUCCGAGUGGUGUGGAUGUUUAUUGGGCCUAAAGCAUCCGUAGCUGGCUAGGUAAGUCCCUUGUUAAAUCCACCGAAUUAAUCGUUGGAUCGCGGGGGAUACUGCUUGGCUAGGGGACAAGAGAGGCAGACGGUAUUUUCGGGGUAGGGGUGAAAUCCUAUAAUCCCGGGAAGACCACCAGUGGCGAAGGCUGUCUGCUAGAACGCGCCCGACGGUGAGGGAUGAAAGCUGGGGGAGCGAACCGGAUUAGAUACCCGGGUAGUCCCAGCUGUAAACGAUGCAGACUAGGUGUUUGGACGGCCACGUGCCGUUCUAGUGCCGCAGGGAAGCUGUUAAGUCUGCCGCCUGGGGAGUACGAUCGCAAGAUUGAAACUUAAAGGAAUUGGCGGGGGAGCAC
rnacentral:rRNA from 1 species